CAGGGCAAAGCAGCCCGAGGUGGUUGGAAACUCAUUGGUGAGGCCACGGCUCGGGCUGAAGUCAUGCUGGUGCCUGCAGCUGAGCUCUGGAUGCAGAUCUGAGCCACUCCACCAGCAGAAAGCGGUCGGGUUUUCAGAUCUGCAAACAGAAAUGGUGAUUAGAGCUGAGCCCGUGCUCGGUGGAGUGCUCUGCUCGUAGGCGCUCCCAGACGCGGCAGAUUGCAGGGAAGCAGCUCAGGCUCUGGAAAUGGGGAGGCAUUGUGAAGGCAUUUCUUAACAGCAUUGCACCCGGCGCCAAUCACCUCUCCUCUGACUCUAUAUGAGGAGUUACAGCUGGUCACCAAAGCGGAUCCAUCCCUACAGCCAAGGGAAUGGUGCACUUCCAAUGUCUCCUCCAGUUCUCUGCUCAAUGGCAGUCCAACCGUGGUGCCCCUGGCAUGUCCUGGGCUGCACCAGGCACUGAUGGCCACACACAAGACACAGAGACCAGAGCCCCUGGGAGAGGUUUGAGAGGCAUUUCUGGGUGCUUCUGCCAUAAGAUCACGGGUCUGCUGCUGAGACCCAACGCCUGGAACCACUGGAUCAUUCCCUCUGUGCAGGGCCCAAAGGCUGCCAGAUCAUCACCAUCUUCACAGUGGGGAGGGGUUGGUGGUUGGACUCGAUGGUCUCAGUGGUCUCUUCCAACCUCAGUGAUUCUAUGACUGAUUCCUAACCAGCUGGUAGGGCACAUGGUGAGCAGCCAUCAGCAGAGCAGAUGUGCUCCUCUGGUCCAAGUGGGCCCCUGCUCCUGCACUUCAGAUAGUGGGGCUCAGUGUUCCCCACUUCUCUCAGCUGCCACAGGGUGUGCUUGCACAGAUGGAGAUGUCUCUUCCAUGGACAAUUGUGACAGAGCAGCUCGCUCCUGCUGCACGCUCCAUUGCCCUGAGCUGUGUGUGCAGCACCUGCAAGUUGUCUGUGCAGUGAUGAGCCGGGCUCAAUCAUCAGGCAGAGCUUCAAUGUAAUUAGGAGCUGUUACAGCCUCAGGUUGAAGCUUUUGGGGAUAAUAACAAUAUGAAGGAACACGAUUAAUGAUGCGUUGCACUUUGCGUAUUCAAAGGACCUCGUUUUGAGCACCCACCCACAGCUCCUCUUGGCUCUGAGCACCUAUGGGAGUGGGUACCCUCUGCCAGGAGCAUCACAUCUCCUAUUUGUGCACUGAAUGCCAUCUGUAAGAGGAGCACCAAGGCAAAGAGAGGGUCUUGCUGCCUCCGGGACAGCAGAAAAUGCCCUCAUGCACUGGGAUGAGACUAAGCUGAAUGUGUGGCCAGCUCUGGGCUAUAGGCACACCGAUAAAAAACACCUGAGAGAGAACCCAGUGCUUGGAGAGAAAUGUCUUUUAGAGCAGCUCCUGACUUGUGCGUAACUCCCCCAGAAAGCAGCCAGUGCCCUCUGGACACAAAGGCCAAAACUCACGGUCUCAUUUCUCCCCUGACAAGAAAUAGAUAGAGAGGGAGAGGCUGUCGUGAUAAAUCACUGCUGCAGUGAGGUCUCUGUCACUGCCACACAUGACGUCCUUAUAAGCAAACGAAAGGAGCAAGACCCAGCCAAAGGCAACACCAUUGUUACGAGGUCUCCUGGAUGCGUGCAAUGAGGUUACGCUGUUGGGGGGAAGCACAGUGCCAUAAUCUCUGCUCUUCUGUUCAGAGUGGCGACAGAAACCACAGCUGUUCCAUAAGGGCAACAGGAAGAGAUAUGGGGUCUCCCUCAGGGAUGCAAAGAAGAGCUCAGAUGCAAUAAACCAGCAAAAUAUACCGAGACAAUGACCAGGGGCUUCUCAUUAUCCUAUUUUAUAAUAAUUAAUUGAAAUAAUAGAGGGAGUGCAUAAGCAAUAUGAAAACCAAGAGGAGGAUUUUCUGGGGCAUCUUUCUGGGCUGUGGGCAAUGGGGGGAAGCCUUCCCCCAGCUGAUCCAUGCCUGGAAAAGGAGAAGGGAAGAGUUAUAGAAUGAAACAAAACAAACAGAAAUCUCCCAAUGUGAGUCAAGUGAAAAGGGGCAUCUGUGGAUGUUUUGUCCGGAGUACAGAGGAGAUCCUCAUCUGCAGAGGAUCAAACCCCAAAUGGAUAAGAUGAGAACUGAUGGACUUCAAAGUGCUCCUCCUCCCUCUGAGACCUUCCCCCAGAUUCCCAGCGCUGUGUGCAUGUGCCAACUUUUCCCUGUUCAGGGAAAGCUGAGGAAAGGGGGUCCCUUACCCUUCCUACAGCACUUCUCCUCCUUCAGCUUUAGGAGAUGGCCACCACAGAGACCCCCAAUGGCUGGAAUUUGGAGCAAAAGGACAAUCUGGGACACAGGAGAAAGGCACAAAGCUUUUAUUUUACUUAUUUUUUGGCUGCAACCACGUGUGGGAGAGGGGGGGAUGGAGCGUGAGAUCUCAGAACCAGAGAUAUCCCUGAGAUGCACCAGUAGAAACACGUUCAUCUCCCGAUAAUUCCUCACUUAUAAUUACACUGAGACCCGACAAUUCACUGGGCUCGCAGCAGCGUUGCUGGUGCCCCACUUCUGCAGUCACGUGAUGCCCAGGGAAGUAAGUGCCUUCUGGAAAUUCAUCAAAUCAUACAAAGGUUUCAGUCUGCAAGACUGCAGUUUCAACAAGAAAAAGAGAAUGCAUGGAAAUGUCAAAGGAAGGCAACGCUACGGCAGCCGCUGCCAUUGGGGUGCACCGCUGUGGAGCUGUCCGUGGUGGCUCAGAUGGGGUUGGGUUCAGUGGGGAGCCUUCCUGCCCCUGUGCAGGGAUCAACCCAACAUCAAGACUUUGUGGCAAUGGGCUGAUGGUUGGUCUUGAUGUUCUUAGUGGUCUUUUCUAGCCUUAUUGAUUCUAUGAUUCGAUGGUUCUAAGGAUGCCGGGCAAGUUGGUAGUGGUGGCUCCAUGGCUAGGAGAAACCAUUGCUGAGGCUGAGCUGGGGAUCAGUGCUCCGCCAGGAUUGCUCAAGCAGGGAUGCAGUGCCCAGAAAUAGGUCCUGGUUUGGGGUUGCUCGUGGAAAAGAGGUCGCUUGCACCGAAUCACUGCUCCAAGUAGGGUAACACCAAACAUGCACGUCUCUUUUACACGAGGUUAACGUUUUUUCAGCUUUGUUACCCAUUUCUUCCCAAUAUACUGUGAAAGCGGAGCUCAUCAAACACUCAUGUCACUGGUUUUCAGCAGCGCUGUCUGGCAUUCUCUGUGAUAGGAAAGGCAAGAUAGAUCUGCUUAAGCCUAUUGAGACAUUUCAUCACAGAUAGGCUCAGCUGGGGAACAGAGUGCGAACCGGAGAAAGCGUCCUGAUAUUUAUGUCUGUGCAUCUGACGAGGCUGGAGCUGAGGCUGGGUGUGCACACUUCAUUUUGCCCAUAAAUUUGUCACUUUAGAGCCAGACAAUUUUCAACCCCGUUGUGGGGUCGCCUCCGUAAUCCCGAUGUAGAGGAGCUUCCCAAGUCGCUCCUAAAUCAGGCGUUUAUCACAGCUCAUCUGAAGCAGCUAUUUUAGAGAGGGACCCCAGGGAGGGACUCCAUUCACUGUUUGUAGAUGCUUAAACACAGCCACCUGCGCUUCACCCGGGCACCCACAGCUCCUCUGCAGCAAUGGGUGCAGGUCACGUCAUCCCAAAGCACGUGUCUAAAAUAGCUUCAACGAAUCUUAAACGAGCUCCGUUCCCAAAUGCAAUUUGAAGAUGCAAAAAGAUAGCAGAACCUAUCGCUUCCUUUAGGAUGUGUUCUCCUGAUAGAUUCCCCUCCUCGUUAAAUGUUUGAAGCGUAUUUUGAGCCUGAAAUGGCUUAAAAUCCCUCAUCCUUGAGUCUCAGUACGUCUCUGCCUGUUGUAUUAAAUAUUCCUCCAUUCAUAUUCUCCACCAGGUACAUAAAUGGAGUGCACAGACAAGUAACUUCCCAGCCUUUCCCUUUCAUUACCUCCUUUCAUAUUUAUGCUGAAUCCUACAGAGGAGGCGGUGCCUGCAACCCUUCUUCUAUUAUGAUGUUUUUUUUUUUUUUUUUUUUUUUUUCAUUUUGUAAGAGACAAAAUGGAAAUGGGAAAGAAGCUCUGCUCUCACCCUUGGAAAUUUUACCCACUGGGAUUUGGACUGAAUGGCCACCAGAAGGAAAAUUUGCCCUAAACCUUACACUGUAGAGGUAGAAAACCCAACCCCUUUGUUUUUGCAAGAAUUUACUGAUGGAUAUGAAGCAAAGGAGGCAUAAGGGGGCUCCUUGCAGAGCCAUGGUCUAGUUAAGUCUAAGGCCUUCUGUCCCAUCCUGUGUCAGCAUCUCCAGGCACUUUGUGUGCCCGUCAUUCUGGUGCCAUUUGUGCAUUUUAUGGCAUCUGCCCUUGGUUUGGGCUGGGUGAGUGCUUCGGAUUUCCACUCCAAGGUGAGCGCAGCCAGAGAUAAAUCAGACUGGAGACAGGGGGACUAUUUCUGCUCAGUGUUGUAAGUGAGAUUUGGGUUUAUUUCUGCGAGGAUUACCAAAAGGUGAUGCUUUCUGUAAGUCCUGAGCCAACCCAGAGAUGAUCUGAAUGGAAAACACAUCGUAAUGACAGCAGAGCCUGCAGUCACCCCACAGCAGUGGGACAGCCCAGUCACAUCCCUAUGUUGUGCCUUAAGCUAUGUGCAAAGAGGGACCAAACUGAGGAAUAUCGAAGGGUUUGGAGGAAACACAGAGAGAUGUCACACCUCGGAAGCUGGUUGCCAUGGAGACGGGCUCAUUUAACCCUAUCAGGGUCAAGCAGCCCUUCUUAUUCGAGCUAAUUGAAUUAAAGAGAUGGGAAGGAAAUGCAAAAUCUAUUGGCACUGAUUCACACCAGGAUGCCGUUGCUCAGGCUGGAUGGGGUUCUUGAGGACGGGCUUUGGUUCGGUAUCCACGCAUCAUCUAUAGGGUCAUUUGUAGUCAAAGGACUCCACUGAUGGGAUGGAUUGGAGAAGAAAGACCGAAGGCAGAAGACAUGGUGGGCGAGGUGGCACUUCAGUGCUGUAUCUCUCCGGGAUAAGAAGCUCCCAGCUGUGCUCAGUGCUCCUCCUGAGCUGUGGGUACCGCGCCUUUAUCUCCCUUCUGGAUUUGAAAUGUGGAUAAAGCAAAGCUGGCAAGGUAAUUAUUCCUCACUGUCAAACAUUGCUCUUGGUUUGCUGUCUGCAGACAGCUGGAGAGUGAUGAAUCCCUUUGUGUUUGCAUCAGCCUUGGAGUUGCUCCAGGAAAAGGUGCAAACAGGGAAGUUUCGCAUUAACGUGACCCAUCAGCAUAGAUCUCACUGCUGCUGUGCCUGAGCAGGAGAAGGGGGCUCAUAAGAAGCAAGAGGACCCAACCACAAAAAAGCAGCAUGGUGCUGAAAAUGCAAAUACCCAGCAUGGAGCAAUGGUGUUGCCCACAGAACCCCCAAACCCACUGUGUCCUAUUGAAUGCCUGCUUCAUACUGGUGUGACUUUGGCAGUUCUCUCCUCUGCAGUGGGGUCACAGGGAGCUGUGCUCCAAACCCGUGGUGCCACUGACCCACAGCUCCCACCACUCCUCACCUCCCGUCCCCGUUCAAUCCCUAUAUAUGGGUCAAAGCUGCCAUCUGCUCACUCUCUCCCUCCCCUCUCUUGAUAGCUCUGACCUAUGGUCGUGUUGUUUUUUUUCUUCCUAUCCAGCUCCCUGCAGGAACACAGAAACCCAGAAUGGCUGAGGCUGGAGGUCACCCAUUCUGCUCCAAGCAGGGAGCCCAGGACCAUGUGGGUCAGGCUUUGUGCACGUCACAAAGAUCACAGACCCCACAGCCUCACUGUAUUCACUCAACCACAUGUUAUUAUUCUAUUCUUAUGUCUAAAUGAACUCACCAUAUUAUGUUUUUUUUGCCCGUUGUCCAGAUGAUCAAUGAAGACUGAUGGAAAUUCCCAUUCAUCAGCCUCAAGGUGUUGUGCUGAGCACUGGCAGCUCAGGACCUGUUUCUGGGGGCAGGCUGACCCAGAGAUCCCAUGCGGUGGAGUCAGGCUGUUCCAGUCAGGAUGGGGAUUAAUUGACGAACCGGAGAUGACGACCUUUGUUGGGAUGAGACUGCAUCUCUCUGUUAUUCCCUGUUUUUUUUUGCUUCAAGUCCUCUCUGUGCGCGGUUUGCUUCCCUCCAACCCGAGAUGGAUGGAGCGCGGAUUUAAUGAGGUCGUGUUUUCCCACCAGUUCCAUUUGCAGCCAUUUAAUGUUCAGCUCAGAGCAGGAGAUUGAGUUAAAGGCUAUUUAAAAGUCUAUGAUGCAGACAAGCAUUCUGCCCAGUCCUUGUUCCUUUACAUAUUUGUUAAUGAGCCUCUCCAGGGUAAAGGUGAGGUUUAUGGUUCGCUUCUUGGAGGAGAAGCCAAUUUCAUCAUUCUGGGUUAUGCUGCUCUGAUACUGAGAUGCCGCUCCUCACACACAGAGCGUGUGCAUAUUCUGCACAGGGGUAAAAACAAAGAAAAA
ensembl:lncRNA